rnacentral:rRNA from 1 species
CGGUUCACUUUAACACUGAGGCGUGACGACGAGGCACUACGGUGCUGAAGCAACAAAUGCCCUGCUUCCAGGAAAAGCCUCUAAGCAUCAGGUAACACGAAAUCGUACCCCAAACCGACACAGGUGGUCAGGUAGAGAAUACCAAGGCGCUUGAGAGAACUCGGGUGAAGGAACUAGGCAAAAUGGUGCCGUAACUUCGGGAGAAGGCACGCUGACAUGUAGGUGAAGUGAUUUACUCAUGGAGCUGAAGUCAGUCGAAGAUACCAGCUGGCUGCAACUGUUUAUUAAAAACACAGCACUGUGCAAACACGAAAGUGGACGUAUACGGUGUGACGCCUGCCCGGUGCCGGAAGGUUAAUUGAUGGGGUCAGCGCAAGCGAAGCUCCUGAUCGAAGCCCCGGUAAACGGCGGCCGUAACUAUAACGGUCCUAAGGUAGCGAAAUUCCUUGUCGGGUAAGUUCCGACCUGCACGAAUGGCGUAAUGAUGGCCAGGCUGUCUCCACCCGAGACUCAGUGAAAUUGAACUCGCUGUGAAGAUGCAGUGUACCCGCGGCAAGACGGAAAGACCCCGUGAACCUUUACUAUAGCUUGACACUGAACAUUGAGCCUUGAUGUGUAGGAUAGGUGGGAGGCUUUGAAGCGUGGACGCCAGUCUGCGUGGAGCCGACCUUGAAAUACCACCCUUUAAUGUUUGAUGUUCUAACGUGGACCCGUGAUCCGGGUUGCGGACAGUGUCUGGUGGGUAGUUUGACUGGGGCGGUCUCCUCCUAAAGAGUAACGGAGGAGCACGAAGGUUGGCUAAUCCUGGUCGGACAUCAGGAGGUUAGUGCAAUGGCAUAAGCCAGCUUGACUGCGAGCGUGACGGCGCGAGCAGGUGCGAAAGCAGGUCAUAGUGAUCCGGUGGUUCUGAAUGGAAGGGCCAUCGCUCAACGGAUAAAAGGUACUCCGGGGAUAACAGGCUGAUACCGCCCAAGAGUUCAUAUCGACGGCGGUGUUUGGCACCUCGAUGUCGGCUCAUCACAUCCUGGGGCUGAAGUAGGUCCCAAGGGUAUGGCUGUUCGCCAUUUAAAGUGGUACGCGAGCUGGGUUUAGAACGUCGUGAGACAGUUCGGUCCCUAUCUGCCGUGGGCGCUGGAGAACUGAGGGGGGCUGCUCCUAGUACGAGAGGACCGGAGUGGACGCAUCACUGGUGUUCGGGUUGUCAUGCCAAUGGCACUGCCCGGUAGCUAAAUGCGGAAGAGAUAAGUGCUGAAAGCAUCUAAGCACGAAACUUGCCCCGA